AAACCGUGAAAGAAUGGACUAUUGAUGAUCUGUGACAACUUGAAAAAAUAACUAUUAUGAUAGGUACUACUCAACACAUAAAUAAAGGACAUUUUUUCGUGUGCUUACUGAUUUAUUCUUCAUAAAUUUUCAUAAAAAAAGACAUAAAUAAACCGCAAACUUAUUACCGUACAUGCAAUGGACUUACAGUUGUUCCAAUGAAUCUUUGCACAAACGUAAUGACUGAAUUGCAAACAAGAUACAUCGCAACAUUAAGUAAAACGUACGUCAGCAUGUACUGUCAAUGUUAUUAGGAAAUGGCCAGCAUUCCGGGUUGGACGUAUUUUAUAAAGUUAGUUUAUUUAAGUGUUUGACCUUUUUUCACUAUUGAAGAGAUUGAUUGACUCAGCAUUAAACAACUUAAACAUUAUACCGACUAUUACUAAUAUAAAGAUAAAUAUAAAACGGUAAUAAAUAAAUAAAUAAAAAAACAAAAAGUCAAAAAGUAAUCUCAAAAAUAAACAAAUAAGUUUACGUUCGACAGAACUACAAUUUAAGAUUAGAUGAUGACAAUUUGUAGGUUAGAAAAUAUGGGUCUAGGACAUUUCGGCAAAAUAUUACUUGUCUAAUAUUUCACAGUUUUUUCUAAUAUUUUUUAAUAAGGUCCGGUUUCACUAACAACAAAUAAAUCAAUGAAUAGCUAUUCGUCGAAUAAAAUUUAUUAGACGUUUAAGUUUAUAUUUUGUUUCGAUAUAAUUUUGCUAAUUUAAAGUUAAACUAGCGAAUUUACUUUCUUCUAAAUAUUUACAGCCAUAUUAACUUGCCAAUAUACUCGAAGAGUAAGUAUUUUUUUGAUAAAUAAAU
rnacentral:lncRNA from 1 species